AUUGGCAGACGCGCGGGACUCAAAAUCCCGUUCCACUUGUGGAGUGUCGGUUCGACCCCGACCACCGGUAUAAUUAACUGUUAUUUACAUAACAUGGGUCCUAAGCUGAGGCCGACAGGCGUAGGCGAUGGAUAACAGGUUGAUAUUCCUGUACCACCUAUAAUCGUUUUAAUCGAUGGGGGGACGCAGUAGGAUAGGCGAAGCGUGCGAUUGGAUUGCACGUCUAAGCAGUAAGGCUGAGUAUUAGGCAAAUCCGGUACUCGUUAAGGCUGAGCUGUGAUGGGGAGAAGACAUUGUGUCUUCGAGUCGUUGAUUUCACACUGCCGAGAAAAGCCUCUAGAUAGAAAAUAGGUGCCCGUACCGCAAACCGACACAGGUAGUCAAGAUGAGAAUUCUAAGGUGAGCGAGCGAACUCUCGUUAAGGAACUCGGCAAAAUGACCCCGUAACUUCGGGAGAAGGGGUGCUCUUUAGGGUUAACGCCCAGAAGAGCCGCAGUGAAUAGGCCCAAGCGACUGUUUAUCAAAAACACAGGUCUCUGCUAAACCGUAAGGUGAUGUAUAGGGGCUGACGCCUGCCCGGUGCUGGAAGGUUAAGAGGAGUGGUUAGCUUCUGCGAAGCUACGAAUCGAAGCCCCAGUAAACGGCGGCCGUAACUAUAACGGUCCUAAGGUAGCGAAAUUCCUUGUCGGGUAAGUUCCGACCCGCACGAAAGGCGUAACGAUUUGGGCACUGUCUCAACGAGAGACUCGGUGAAAUCAUAGUACCUGUGAAGAUGCAGGUUACCCGCGACAGGACGGAAAGACCCCGUGGAGCUUUACUGUAGCCUGAUAUUGAAAUUCGGCACAGCUUGUACAGGAUAGGUAGGAGCCUUUGAAACGUGAGCGCUAGCUUACGUGGAGGCGCUGGUGGGAUACUACCCUAGCUGUGUUGGCUUUCUAACCCGCACCACUUAUCGUGGUGGGAGACAGUGUCAGGCGGGCAGUUUGACUGGGGCGGUCGCCUCCUAAAAGGUAACGGAGGCGCUCAAAGGUUCCCUCAGAAUGGUUGGAAAUCAUUCAUAGAGUGUAAAGGCAUAAGGGAGCUUGACUGCGAGACCUACAAGUCGAGCAGGGUCGAAAGACGGACUUAGUGAUCCGGUGGUUCCGCAUGGAAGGGCCAUCGCUCAACGGAUAAAAGCUACCCCGGGGAUAACAGGCUUAUCUCCCCCAAGAGUUCACAUCGACGGGGAGGUUUGGCACCUCGAUGUCGGCUCAUCGCAUCCUGGGGCUGUAGUCGGUCCCAAGGGUUGGGCUGUUCGCCCAUUAAAGCGGUACGCGAGCUGGGUUCAGAACGUCGUGAGACAGUUCGGUCCCUAUCCGUCGUGGGCGUAGGAAAUUUGAGAGGAGCUGUCCUUAGUACGAGAGGACCGGGAUGGACAUACCUCUGGUGUACCAGUUGUCGUGCCAACGGCAUAGCUGGGUAGCUAUGUGUGGACGGGAUAAGUGCUGAAAGCAUCUAAGCAUGAAGCCCCCCUCAAGAUGAGAUUUCCCAACUUCGGUUAUAAGAUCCCUCAAAGAUGAUGAGGUUAAUAGGUUCGAGGUGGAAGCAUGGUGACAUGUGGAGCUGACGAAUACUAAUCGAUCGAAGACUUAAUCAA
rnacentral:rRNA from 1 species